rnacentral:rRNA from 1 species
GGCCUUUUGUUUAUGAUUUAAGGUCUAGCCUGCCCAAUGAGAUUUUGAAUGGCCGCGGUAUUUUAACCGUGCAAAGGUAGCAUAAUCAUUAGUUUUUUAAUUAAAAGCUGGUAUGAAUGGUUGAAUGAAAAAAUAACUGUCUCUAUUUAAAUUUUUUAGAAUUUUAUUUUUAAGUAAAAAAGCUUAAAUUAUAUUAGAAGACGAGAAGACCCUGUAGAGUUUAAUUAAUUAUUAUAAUAGGAUUUUUAGUAUUCUUAUUUUUAUUAUUUAUAAUUAAUUUAGUUGGGGUGAUUUAAAAAUUUAAUAAACUUUUUUUAUAUUUAUACAUUAAUUUAUGAUUACUUGAUCCUUAUUUUAAGAUUAAAAGAUAAAAUUACCUUAGGGAUAACAGCGUAAUUUUUUUAGAGAGUUCUAAUCGAAAAAAAAGAUUGCGACCUCGAUGUUGGAUUAAAAUAAAAAUUUGGUGUAGAAGCUAAAGUAUUUAGGUCUGUUCGACCUUUAAAAUUUUACAUGAUCUGAGUUUAAACCGGCGUAAGCCAGGUUGGUUUCUAUCUCUAUUUUAAAUAAAUAUUUUAGUACGAAAGGACCAAAUAUUAGGUUUAAAAUUUUAUAUUUGAAUAUAAUU